rnacentral:miRNA from 1 species
UUCGCUCCCUUGCCCUUUGCU